rnacentral:rRNA from 1 species
CCCUUGCGACCCCAGGUCAGGCGGG